rnacentral:lncRNA from 1 species
ACACCCUUGGUCCCUUCUACCUGCUUCUGUACUGGCUGUUUAAGGCUUAGCUCUCCUGUUAGUUUAGACCUUUCCAGGUUAUGAAGAGGACCUGUUUAGGAGCUCAAAGAAGAAAACAUGAAAAGGGAGAGAGAUGCAGAAAGACAAAAAAGAAUGAGAUGAAAAGGGAGUCUUGAAAAUAUGAUCAGAGGGAGCAUACUAUCCUCUAAGUGGGCUGCAGACUUUUGUCAGGGUCAGGGUAAAGGCAGAGGCCAGACUGCUCUUGGUAGCUGUGGAAGCAGCAUCUGAGAGGGUAAGAGGUGAUGCUGCUGGGAUGAGUCCAUCAAGGAGACGUGAGACCAUGUGAAUGCUCAGGUAUGAGAGCCUGCAUUUAGGAUGGGGCAAUGAACUUGAGCCCUGGACUGAGCGGGAGCUCAGCGGCAGCUUAGGUGAGAAGUGUUUGGAGUUUGCAGUGGACUCAGGCUCGCUCUGUGCGUGGUGCCAGCCACGUACUGGGUGUUCAGUAGCAACCAGAGUAGAAGAAUAAAUGUGUGUAAACCCAGGAAGAGACGUGGCUUAUAAUUUAAAAAGUGGUUAAUUAGGAAU